AUGGCCUCCCUGCUCCUCUUCUGUGUGGCCUUUUGUCUCCUGUGAACAGGGUCCAUGGAUGCUGAUAUUACCCAGACCCCAAGGAAUAGGAUUGCAAAGACAGGAAAGACGAUUAUGCUGGAAUGUUCUCAGACUAAGGGUCAUGAUAGAAUGUACUGGUAUCGACAAGACCCAGGACUGGGGCUACGGUUGAUCUAUUACUCCUUUGAUGUCAAAGAUAUAAACAAAGGAGAGAUCUCUGAUGGAUACAGUGUCUCUCGACAGACACAGGCUAACUUCUCCCUGUCCCUAGAGUUUGCCACCCCCAACCAGACAGCUCUUUACUUCUGUGCCACCAGUGAUUUGCACAGUGCUUCUUGGCCACCUGCUCUCUACACAGAAAGACAGACACAUGGUUCUUCCAAGCUCAGCUCCACCAUUUAG